rnacentral:rRNA from 1 species
ACUCCUACGGGAGGCAGCAGUAAGGAAUAUUGGUCAAUGGAGGGAACUCUGAACCAGCCAUCCCGCGUGCAGGAUGAAGGUCCUAUGGAUUGUAACUGCUUUUAGUAGAGAAGAAAAGCUGACAUUAAUGUUGGGUCUGACGGGUAUCUACAGAAUAAGCACCGGCUAACUCCGUGCCAGCAGCCGCGGUAAUACGGAGGGUGCGAGCGUUAUCCGGAAUUACUGGGUUUAAAGGGUGCGUAGGCGGGUGAUUAAGUCAGUGGUGAAAUGGUGUCGCUUAACGAUAGAAUUGCCAUUGAUACUGAUUAUCUUGAAUUGGGUUGGUAGGUUAGGAC